rnacentral:rRNA from 1 species
CCCUUAGAUGUUCUGGGCCGCACGCGUGCUACACUGAGUGGAUCAGCGGGUCAGGUUGCGCGAAAGCGUUUCCUAAUCUUGAAAUCCGCUCGUGAUGGGGAUUGACGGUUGCAAUUUUCUGUCAUGAACGAGGAAUACCUUGUAAGCGCGAGUCAUCAUCCCGCGCUGAAUACGUCCCUGCCCUUUGUACACACCGCCCGUCGCUCCUACCGAUUGAGUGGUCCGGUGAAGCCUCGGGAUUGUGGCCAGUUCACUUUAUUGGGAGUUGGCUGUGAGAACUUGUCUAAACCUUAUCAUUUAGAGGAAGGUGAAGUCGUAACA